AUUGAACGCUGGCGGCGUGCCUAAGACAUGCAAGUCGAACGGUUAAGGCUCUGUUCGGACAGAGUAUAGCGUGGCGAACGGGUGAGUAACUCGUAAGAAUCUACCCUCGAGUGGGGAAUAACAUCCGGAAACGGAUGCUAAUACCGCAUAACGCAGGUACCUGCCAAGGUGACACUUGUUAAAGUGUUACGCUUGAGGAGGAGCUUACGGCAGAUUAGCUAGUUGGUAGGGUAACGGCUUACCAAGGCUACGAUCUGUAACCGGUCUAAGAGGACGGUCGGUCACACUGACACUGAAUAACGGGUCAGACUCCUACGGGAGGCAGCAGUCGGGAAUAUUGGGCAAUGGGCGCAAGCCUGACGCAGCAACGCCGCGUGAAGGAUGAAGUAUUUCGGUAUGUAAACUUCGUUUAUCAGGGAACAAACACCUGGAGCUAACACCUUCCGGGAAUGACGGUACCUGAAGAAUAAG
rnacentral:rRNA from 1 species